rnacentral:misc_RNA from 1 species
CGCACAUUGCGCCCCCUGGUAUUCCGGCGGGCAUGCUUAUUCGAGCGUCAUUUCUAUCCUCAAGCUCCGCUUGGUAUUGGGUGGAUGGCCUUCCCCUCCCAGGGGGAGGGCUCCCCCGAAAAUCAGCGGCGGACCGGUCGGGGUCUCAGCGCAGUGACUUUUUUUUCUCGCUGAUUUGAUCCCCGGGCGGCUCCUGCCGGGCUAAAAAUUUUUUUAUAACAUGAUUGACCUCGGAUUAAGUAGGGAUACCCGCUGAACUUAA